rnacentral:rRNA from 1 species
AUGACUGGUUACUGCAACGCGGUGAGAAAGCUUGAGAAAAAGUUCGAGGGGUUAGAACUCCACCACGUCCCCCAACUGAAAAAUCAAGCAGCCGAUGAAUUGGCAAAGAUAGGUUCCAAGAGAGAAGCCAUUCCCAGCAAUGUGUUCUUGGAGCAUAUUCACACGGCGACAGUUCAGGAAGACCAUUUCACUAAAGAGCCCUCGCAACCCAAGAGCGCCAUGGAUCCGACUGAAAUCGAGGUCCCAGCUGUGGUCGACCUGAUCAUGGAGGUUUUGGCCAUUACUCCCGACUGGACGGUGCCCUACAUUGCGUACAUCCUCAGAAAAAGCUCCCAGAGGAUGAAGAAGAAGCUCGACAGAUCGUCCGUCGAUCCAAAGCUUUUACUGUGA